rnacentral:lncRNA from 1 species
UGCUUCCUUUUUAGUGGCUAUAGCUAUAAUUAGCUCUACCUCAACCUCAUUGCCCCUUUGAGGCAUCUCUCUACUAGUUGCCUUGUCACCACUAGAAGUAGUAGACACCCAUAAAGGGUGAUGGGAUGGAAGCAAGAGAACAUGCUAGUGGCUCGCAUUCACUUCAUCCACCUUAUGCCUUGUAUAGACUUACACUACAUCCUUCCCUCUAGCAGCCUCCAACAUAUCCAUGGCUAAGCUCCUUCAAGCCACUCUUAAAAUUGUCCUAGCAUGAGAUAGUAGAAUUGGAUACGAUUCUUGUACAUCUCUCCACUAGCUUCCUUGUCACCACUAGAAGUAGUAGACACCCGUAAAGGGUGAUGGGAUGGAAGCAAGAGAACAUCAUGGUGGCUCACAUUCACUUCAUCCACCUUAUGCCCUAUAUAGACUUACACUGCAUCUUUCCCUCUCACUGCCUCCAACAUAUCCAUGGCUAAGCUCCUUCAAGCCACUCUUAAAAUUGUCCUAGUAUGAGAUAGUAGAAUUUGAUACAAUUCUUGUACCCUAGCUACUC